GAUGAACGCUAGCGGCAGGCUUAAUACAUGCAAGUCGUGGGGCAGCAUGAGUAGCAAUACUUGAUGGCGACCGGCAAACGGGUGCGGAACACGUACACAACCUUCCGAUAAGUGGGGAAUAGCGCAGAGAAAUUUGGAUUAAUACCCCGUAACAUAUAGAGUAGGCAUCUUCUUAAUAUUAUAGCUUCGGCGCUUAUUGAUGGGGGUGCGUCUGAUUAGGUAGUUGGCGGGGUAACGGCCCACCGAGCCUACGAUCAGUAGCUGAUGUGAGAGCAUGAUCAGCCACACGGGCACUGAGACACGGGCCCGACUCCUACGGGAGGCAGCAGCAAGGAAUAUUGGACAAUGGGCGAAAGCCUGAUCCAGCCAUGCCGCGUGAAGGAUUAAGGUCCUCUGGAUUGUAAACUUCUUUUAUUUGGGACGAAAAAAGGGAAUUCUUUCCCACUUGACGGUACCAAGUGAAUAAGCACCGGCUAACUCCGUGCCAGCAGCCGCCGUAA
rnacentral:rRNA from 1 species